rnacentral:misc_RNA from 1 species
GUGUAGUUGGCAUCUAUGGCACAUAUUCUUUAUGUAGGUCAUGCUGUGUCUGACAUAGGCACUUCACCUUCGAUUGAGGACAACAUGUAACAAACAGAGAAUAUUUGAAUGGAGCCUAAUCUUCCAUGACUUGUGCUGAUUGGAUCUCACAUAAGAUGAGAAUGAAGGAGGGUAGUGCCUUGAAAAAGGAAAUACCUAACGGCUUCAUGGCUUCUAUCAGAUGUAUAUAGGAGAUUGAAAAAUGAAGUGGGUAUAAACAAGUCUUUCACUUGAUUUUAACCUGUUUCUACAACAUGGAUUUUGAUCGAUGUCGAAGCAUCAAUUCUAGAAAUGCCAAUAGUGAACGCUUGAAAAAAUACAGAUAAGCCUGUACGAUUUAUGACUUGUGUGGGAUGUAUGCAACUUCUUGACAAACACUCAACCUACUUAUAUAUGUGACAAUCAAAAGCUUCUCAAAUCCUGUUGAAACUUUGCUGGUAUUUUAUAAAAAGACAUGUUAAGUAUGUGCAUAUCUCAUAUCAAAGUCCAUUUGAGUUGUGAUUUUGGACCCUUUGAUUUUGAUUCAGUUCUAUAAUGCUCCCAUCAAUGAUCUCCAAGCCAAGCUUGUUCUGAAACCUUUAUCCCCUGACCGGCGGUGGAAGUUCAUAUAUGAGCCUAUACGUCAGGAUGUGCGUAUUCUUUCCAAGAAGAUUCCCAUAACCAAAUUCCUAAAUCUCCAGGUUGGUAUUGGCCAUAAUUUUCAGUUGCAUGCUACUGGUUGGAAAUGGAAGCUUACUACAUGCUUAGGUGGUGAUGGCAUAUCUCGCAUUCGGAAUAAGACAUCACUAGGGUUGUUCCCUGGCAUGGAUUUACGGUUUGCUUGGAGGGCAGAUUAUGUUCUUCCAGAAGUUACAGGGGCUUUGGGUACCGGAGAGCCAUUGUUCAACUUGAGUACAGGACGAUUGCAAGCGUCUCUGGAUAGAGUGGAAACCAUUGUAACGCACACAUCAUGACUAGAGCUAGAUCAAAAGGCAGUAUACCUAUCAAUUGUGCUAAUUGUUUGAAUUUUCUUAGAUCAUGAAAUACUUCAUUUAUGAUCUCUCCCUACAUUAAUGAACAUAACUCUUGUUCUAUGGUCUCUCUCUCUUCCAGUGUUUUAUUUAUAAUAUGAGCUAUUUAGAAGUUAAGAUGUUAAUUUGUUUCACUUAUUGUAUUUCUGUUCAAAUCUCAUUUACAUGCUAAUGUGUAUCUAUUUUCAUCUGUUGUGCUUUUUGAUAAUCUCAUUAUUCUGUUGUUUCCAAUUUCCUCUCUUAAUCUAAAAUUCUUGUAAAUUUUUUUCUAAGGGACUCCAGAUGAUAAUAAAUUGGACAAUUUAUAGGUUCAGUUUCUGAAUAAUUUCACAACACUCCACUUACAAAUUUUUGUUACCAAACUUUGUAUUCCACAGGUCUGGCAGGAAAAACGCAUGCAAAUUUGAAACGCUAUGAUGGGAAAGACCACCAUCAUACUGGCCUAUGGGAGGUGGGAUAUUUGAAAUCUUGUGGUCCUUCAAUUUCAAUAUUAGGAUCAGAUGGCUAUCAUGGGAACGUAUGGGUGCAACAGCCUUAUUAGAACAGUUCAUAAUUUGAUUUGCAUAUGCGACUGGACUUGUCUAAGGUUAUGUCUUAUUAUUUUGCAGCCUUAAAUCCGGGAUGAUUCUUUAAUUGUAAAAAAAAAAAAAUGUUGUGCCCUCUUCUGUUGCAUUUAUAGGACAAAUAUAAACUUGAAUUGUGCCAAUAUGUGGCAAGGCCAAGGUGGAAUUGGUGUGUUUUUCAUAUAAUCUUGGACACUCCUUCCCCUUUGAGUUAGCUUUUAGGGAUGAGUUAGACCCGGUUUAUUUAAUUAGGACGGUGUUCUUUUUUUUUCUUAAUUUUAAUAACUAAAAGCGACUCUAUAAUCUUUAUAAA